rnacentral:rRNA from 1 species
CACGUAGGGUGCGAGCGUUGUCCGGAAUUAUUGGGCGUAAAGAGCUCGUAGGCGGUGUGUCGCGUCGGCCGUGAAAACCUGCAGCUUAACUGUGGGCUUGCGGUCGAUACGGGCAUCACUGGAGUUCGGUAGGGGAGUCUGGAAUUCCUGGUGUAGCGGUGAAAUGCGCAGAUAUCAGGAGGAACACCGGUGGCGAAGGCGGGACUCUGGGCCGAUACUGACGCUGAGGAGCGAAAGCGUGGGGAGCAAACAGG